CCUACGGGAGGCAGCAGUGAGGAAUAUUGGUCAAUGGACGAGAGUCUGAACCAGCCAAGUAGCGUGAAGGAUGACUGCCCUAUGGGUUGUAAACUUCUUUUAUAUGGGAAUAAAAUGUUCCACGUGUGGGAUUUUGUAUGUACCAUAUGAAUAAGGCUCGGCUAACUCCGUUCCAGCAGCCGCGGUAAUACGGAGGAUCCGACCGUGAUCCGGAUUUAUUGGGUUUACAGGGAGCGUAGGUGGAUUGUUAAGUCAGUUGUGAAAGUUUGCGGUGCAACCGUAAAAUUGCAGUUGAAACUGGCAGUCUUGAGUACAGUAGAGGUGGGCGGAAUUCGUGGUGUAGCGGUGAAAUGCUUAGAUAUCACGAAGAACUCCGAUUGCGAAGGCAGUUCACUGGACUGCAACUGACACUGAGGCUCGAAAGUGUGGGUAUCAAACAGGAUUAGAUACCCGGGUAGUC
rnacentral:rRNA from 1 species